AGAGACGGAGUGGCUGAGACUGAGCAAGGACUGGCGAGGGUGAUUUUGAAGUUAUCCCAAGGUGAAGCUAGAGUAGAUUUGAUCUUCGUCGGGACCCUACACAACAAGUCGAUAUCGGAAGGAAUUCUCGAUCCGACCCCUCUGAUGCUUAAAUUAGUUAAUGAAAAAUCGGUUCUAUAUCUAGUGUGAAUUUUUUUUAGGAUCG
rnacentral:lncRNA from 1 species